UAUGUUUAGACAAUACACUGUAAUUUAAUGUUGUUUUUAAUCCUUUCCCCACCUAAACUAAGAGAAUAAGAGAGUUAGAGAACCUUUUCAAAAGGACCCCGUGACAGACGUUUUUUUUUCUGACGUCAUGACUCACGAGCCUUUCUCGAGUUUUCUGCUCGGCCGCCAUUAAUUUCCCGUGGGGAGCGGGAAAGACGCUCGAGUCGAGGCUGAGGGGGUCCUCGCAUUACAAUUAUUGAGUUUAGGUUUUUAAAUUAAUGUUUGUCAGUUCUUUUAUUUGUCUCUUUCACGUUAGCUCUGAUUUAUUGAUCUAUUUGUUCGACCAAAAUGACGAAGAAAGUCUGUGAGUAAAGACAUACUUAAGGCUUAUUUCAUUUGACUAGCGCGAGGUGUUUUUUUAUUCUGUUUUUUUUAGUAGAAUGAAAUGGUUGCGUAUUUACACAACUAAUUAAUUACUUGCACUGCAGCAAACAAGUUUUUUCAUUUAUAAACACUUAUUCCCCUCCCCCUUUUAGGAUCUAAAACUCUUCAAUGUUUGACGACUAAGGACACUUUGCAAUAACUUUACAUGUGACAGUAACCAUUGACAUUACAUUAAUCACAGAAGAUCACAGUUCCAGCUAAAAAUAUUUACUGUUCUACUGAAGAAAUAAAAAAAAGUCAACUUGGAUGGCCUGAUGACUGAAAACAUUCACCUGAGAAGUGUGUCCUGAAGGCCCUUAUCCUUUUCCUGAGAGAAAGUCCUGAAGACCUCAUCAAGGAGUACUUUCUGAGUUGAACGAUAACCCGACAGAUGAUUGAGGAGCAGCUCACCAUGGCGAUGUUCAUUAUUUGGAAGGAGGGGGAGAACUCCAUGAACCAUCUGCUGACAUUGAGGGAGUUAAAGUUUUGAAUCAACUUACUUCAAUUACAUCAGCUUGUGCCCUGCUUCUAGGCCUACAGUUGGAAGCAGCUAUUCUCCUCUUGCCUGCACUGUUCAAGGUGGACCUGGGGUUGCUGUUUGACAUUGAGGGCCAUGCUCAGACCAGCCCUCCUGUCAUCCCAACACCUAAGAUAGUGCCUAAAGCCUGCGGGAGGAUCAUCUCAUGCAGUAUGACCACAUUUUGUUCACGUUGGAUGGCCAGUUAAUCACAGAGUAGAGUGAGGACAUCUUGAUGGCACUGGACCUCCUCCUAUGUGUAUAUUUUGCAUUUGGAAUUGAAUCCAAUCCAGUAUCCUAAAGGACUGAAAAAGACACUGACCUUUUUGAAGUGUGUUGUUUUGAAAUUGAAGGAUGCAGACGGACUUCCUGUCACUGUAAAUUGAGUGUACAACUCAAUCUGUGAGUAGAAUUUCGGAGUCAAUAUUCUCUCUUGCUCCCUUUCUUAUGGUUUUAGUUCCAGUUUCUAUAUUGUUUUUGAAAUCAUGAAGGACUUACAAAAAUGUUAGUUUCUAUAUUUUGGACUUUUAUUUAUGUUGCCUAGCAGGUUUUUUGUCUUAUUUUUGUUCUUGUACUAUAUUUUUUGUUUUGUACUAUUUGAUUGAUCUUGAGUAAAUAAAUAAUGUACAUUUCUACAUUUUGGACUUUUAUUUAUGUUGCCUAGCAGCUAUGGAUUUUAAUUUUACUAUUAUAGGUGAACACAUAGGUGCAUAUAUAUGUGCAUAUAUGUACCUAUAUAGGUAUAUGUAUGCACAUAUAUAUGU